CUACAUUUACAGAACCAUAAACUCCAAUAUAGAAAAAUGUGUGGUCAGUUAGUGACGAACAUGGUUUCACAGUCCACUGUAAGUGUCAAGCUGGAGGCCUCAGUAGCUUAUCAUCACCCGUCAUGGUGAUGUAUCCAGCUCCGCCGCCUCCACCUCCUUCUUUGGGACCCAGAUUAACAUACAGCUUGUCCGAUCUUAUGUAGCAAGUGUUUUUAAUUAUCUCCUAAACAAAUAUUUGGAAAAAUUAUAUUACAUAAAACAGUCAAGGGGACAAAAAGGUUUGUAUGUUUGUGUCUAUCAAUUAACACAAUGAAACUAAGAAACAAAUACAGUGUACUACACUGUGGUGCCUGAUAUAGUGUUCAAUGUUUGGAAGAAGUGUUUUAUAUUUUGCAGAUGUUCUUCAUCUUUCUACUUCAAUAAUGAAAAUAAUGAGGUCCCGUGCUAGUGGAAUCAACUUCAAGUGUUAUGGACUGCUGGAGAAGAUAAGUUAAUACUGUAUUAUUAAUUUUUAAAUUGUUGUCAUAAAGCUUAAAGAAAGCAAGUGGGUGGCUGUUGUAUGGUUGAAAAGCUCAGUUGUGGUACUCUUCCACAUCUUAAUUUAUUUCCAAAAUAUUUUGCAGGUUACUACGCUCCUAACAUGUCGCCAGUCGAGUUCACGCCUGAAAACCCCUACUGCCGCUUUAAAGUUGUAUGCUAUGCCAGGAUCCCGAACUACCAUCAUGAGCAUGGCAUUGUGCAGGUCACCAUUGAAAAGGCCUUAGCAGAACUAAAGUUAGUUUUUAACACCGUAUUGGCGACAAGAUAUUUUUGUAUAAGACAACACCGGGUAGUUAACUUUUUAUUUCUCACUGUUUUUAUCUUCCAGAUCUCAUAAGUAGCAGAUUAUUUAUGACUCCGAUAUUCGGUGGCGCUGAAGUUGUCAUUAACGAAAUCUACGCUGAUAAAGUUUCAAAUAAAACAAAUAUUCGAUUUUUUUUUCUUAUUCGCCGGUAUUCUCCCCGCCCGGGUCUUUUCCAAGUAGUGGUGACCCGGCCUUGGCUCCCUAUCUGGGGAGUAUCUCGAGUCUCCCAUGGGAGGAGGUACAAGUACCCCAUCAUCUUUGGGACCAACUGUCCCCAGGCCUAGCCAUUCUUUUUUUCAACAAUCUCACUUCAAUAAUAAUUAAAUUUUAGAAAGUUUGAGUUAAAUUGAUUAUGUAUUUGUUAAGGUUUUAUGACUGCUCAUUUAUGACCUCAUAACAAGGAUUCAUAUUUUUUUUGUAUUUUAGAAAAUUUUAAUAACAGAAUAUUGUUAAUUAAUGAUGCAGUGUUUUGCAGGAGAGAAACAAUGAACAUUUGCCACUGAUGUUUUUCGUCACAUGAUGGUAGCAACUUAUACUAAUACAUUGAAGAACGUAUGUAUUCGUCAAGUCAUUCCAUUGAUGUUGACAGAAACAGAUAAAGGAAUACGUAAUACGACUGGAGGAUCUAUACACACAACUGAUGCAAUCCACACAGUACUGUAAACCAGUUUUAACAUCUUCAUUAAAAAAAAUUCUCACACAUCACGGGAUGUUUGAACGAACUGAUAGCUCAGAUGUCAGUAGUCUGGAUGUGGAUUACGAUAUGGACUUACAAGAGACAAGGAGGAAGAGGUUUAUCAACAUGCUGUGGUUAGCAUUCUUAAGGAAGACAUGUGGCUGGUUGAUACCAUGAUGGAAGAAAUUCAACGCAAGUCUUGAAAAAUAUUCUCUCCAUAAUAAAGCUUAUUUCUUUAUUUUCAUAUAGGCUAAUUUUUAUAUUUGUAGUAAGCUUGAUUAACAGACAGUAAUUAAUUGUCAACAAAAAUAUCAAUUUAACAAAAAUAUUAGUAUUGUAUCUUUAUACAUGCUUCUAAACUAUUGUAUCUGGGCGCCUCUGCAAAAACAGUGAUUAUGUAUGAGUGAGGUGAAAGUGUUGAAUGAUGAAAGUAUUUUCGUUUUGGGGAUAUUCUUUCUUUUUGGGUCACCCUGCCUCGGUGGGGGACGUCCGACUUGUUGAAAAAAAAAUGAGUGUAAAGCAGUAAUGUCCUUUUUAUCCAGAAAUCAGUUAUUAUACAGAUUUGCAGUAUUAGGAAUGUGCCAAGGUACCAGUAUAACCACAUAGCCUGAGCUUGCUACCGUCUGCAGCUCAUAAGACUGCCAUCCCCACGAGCCCCUUUGAGGCGGGGUAGAUGGCAGACCAGAGGCCUAGCUUCUCCCUACGAGCCCCGUGAGGGCGGGGAAUGUGGCUAGGCCUGGGGACACUUGGUCCCAAAGAUGAGGAGGUACUUGUACCUCCUCCCAUGGGAGACUUAAGUCUCGAGACACUCCCCAGAUAGGGAGCCAAGGCCGGGUCACCACUACUUGGAAAAGACCCGGGCCGGGAGAAUACCGGCGAAUAAAAAAAAAAAAAAAAAAAAAAACAUAUGGAUCGAUACCAU